rnacentral:rRNA from 1 species
UGCUAAUACCGAAUGUUGUCAAGUUUCCGCAUGGGAGCUUGAUUAAAGAUGGCCUCUACUUGUAAGCUAUCGCUUUGCGAUGGGUCUGCGUCUGAUUAGCUAGUUGGUGGGGUAACGGCCUACCAAGGCGACGAUCAGUAGCCGGUCUGAGAGGAUGAACGGCCACAUUGGAACUGAGACACGGUCCAGACUCCUACGGGAGGCAGCAGUGGGGAAUCUUCCGCAAUGGGCGAAAGCCUGACGGAGCAACGCCGCGUGAGUGAAGAAGGGUUUCGGCUCGUAAAGCUCUGUUGACGGGGACGAAUGUACGGAAUGCGAAUAGUUUUCUGUAAUGACGGUACCCGUCGAGGAAGCCACGGCUAACUACGUGCCAGCAGCCGCGGUAAUACGUAGGUGGCGAGCGUUGUCCGGAAUUAUUGGGCGUAAAGGGAGCGCAGGCGGGAAGGCAAGUCAGUCUUAAAAGUGCGGGGCUCAACCCCGUGAUGGGAUUGAAACUGUCUUUCUUGAGUGCAGGA